ACCCGGUAAUUUUGGCCUCCCCGAUGAUCCGCUCUUAAAGAUUUAGCUCGACCAAGAACAGCUCGCUGAAGACUUCCCGAGCAUCCGCUAACCCGAACAGACAGCCACACUAGAGGUCCAUCACCCGCAUCAACUUGAGGAGCAUUAUUCGGACAGGACAGCCUCCAAGGAUCGCCACACGCCAAAGACCUAUACCAAAAAUGUAACACCCCAAAACCAGCCCAUUAAAUUUUUUUUAAUGCUAUUGGGUCCUCUGCAGCCCAAUUGGAAAACCCUAGGGUUUUCCCUAUCUCUUCCCCUAUAAAAGCAAGCCUCCACUUCUUCUUUUCUCUCAUCAGAAAUCUAGAAGCGAAGCCCUGCGGAGAAUUCCCGGAGACUGGAAGCCCUAGCCGUCGACUCUCUCUCUCUCCUCGCGCCGCCUCUCUCCUCCUUCUCUCUCUUCGCCGCGUCUCUUCUCUCUCUCUCCUCUCCGCGUUCCCUUCUCUCUCUCUCGGCCGCGUCUCUCUCUCCUCGCCGUGAGCAGCCGCGAGUGGUGGUGGUGGCCGCGUGGUGUCAUAGAUCGCAGAUCCCGUUUUCUCUUACCUCCUAUUCUCAGAUCCAGAUCCAGAUCUAGGCUAAGGUGAGGUGUUCUACCCAGAUCUGUUCUAUGUUCUUUUAUAUUGUUGAAUGGGUUGCUAGGAUUGAUUAGAUCCUGUUUGUUGUUAGGUUGAUAGAUCAUAUUGCAUAAGAACUCUCAUUCUGAUUUAAGGCUCUAAAUAAGCUGGUGUGUUGAUGAUUGAUUGAUUGUUUGAUUGGUGGAAGAUCUGUGGUUGUGAUUGAGAGCUAGGAUGGUUAUAAAGAAAUGAACAUAGGAUAAUAGGAGAACUGUUAACCGGUCUGUUAGAUGAAUGAAAGGAUAUCUAUGAAUGAUUGUUAAAUGGAUUGAGUGUGACACCGAGAACGGGUGGCGUCUAAAAUGGAAAGUAAGAAAGAGUCUAAGGGUUUAAGGAAAAGGAAAUGAUAAGGAAAAAGGAAAGGUUAAAUGAUUGAAAUACGAACCACCGAGGAACGGGUGGGGAGUAUGGGAAAUGAAUGGAAAUGGAAUACGAACCACCGAGGGACUGGUGGGGAGUAUGGGAAAACGCGGCGGCCGUAGGGUUCAAAAACGGCAAACAGGUUCCCUACAAAAGUCAAAGGUUUUUCAAGAAAAGCGUAUCAGGCAAAUCAUUGUUGGAAUGAGAAAGCUACUCAGUUUGAGAAGUAAUGGAACGUACCAAAUGUUAAGGCAAUUAUCGAGUGACAAUGUUUUCCAUCUGCAAAUGAAUUAUUCUUAUUUAACAAUGUUUUGUGUAUGUAUAAAGAGACGAUAAAUUCUUGCAAAUUUUGCAUACCCGAAUUUGGCAUGACAAAGAGAUUUUGGGCUUCACGUUAUCUUCAUGUGGCUACAAAAUCAAGACUCAAUAUAAGAACCAAAAGCUGAGAUUUAAGAAUAAAUGUCAUAAAAAAAUUCUACAAUAAUGAAGCCUUUGUGCUUCGGCAAGCCAAAAGUGGAAAAAGCUGCCAACAAUCUCUUAAUAUGAUCGGCUGAGACGGAGAUCAUCACUGUGGCGUCGUUAACCGAUGUUUAGAAUUACGUCGAUUGGAGAACUUUUUCAGGACGGAUGGUAAAUAAGGUUUAUGCAGGAGAAUCAUAUAUAUAUAAUGAGGUUCAAAUCCAGACUAAUCUCAAAUCAAAUAUCUGCAAUAUCAUGAAAAUUACAGUUGGAAUUUCCCUAAAUAAUAUAAACUGCUGUGACAAUAGAGACCAUAUACAAUAUGUUAAACCCUCUUGAUCAUCCACCAGAAUCUCAAGUUAUUAUGAUAAGCUUGCAGUUCCUUUAGCAUUUGCUCAGAGAAGGUCGAGGACUAAGAGACAGAGAAGUGGCUGAAGUGUAGAAGAGUUGAAGUGAAGGAAAGACUCUGAGUGAGAGAGAGGGUCUUAAUAAUUAAUAUUAUGUCGUUUUGGGUUUACAUUAUGGCUACUAAAUUCACGUUAUGUGUAUGGGAAACAUUAAAUAAUUAAUCAAAACUCUAUCUUCUUAUCUUAUCUUCUCUCUCUCCCUUUCCCAUUUCUGUCACGUAGAUAAACCCUAAAUCUUAGGGCUUAUCAUUGGUAUCAGAGCCUAAUCAUCCCGCCUAAGCAAGAUUUUAACUCCGAUAGGAUCUCUGCGCUCGAGGGUAGCGUGGCUAGCAUCCUAGAUGAGCUGCAAGAAGCGUUUAAGAAGACUGACCAGCAAUUCAUGGAAAUGGAGAAACGAGCUGAAGAACAUCACCUCCAGUCCAUGGCGUCGAAGGAAAAGCCAUCGUUCCGUUAACGUCUGAUGACCCCGGAAACGCUAGAUCUAAGAAUGGGGUAGCCGGCGAAGCUCCACGGGUCAUCGUUGAAGGAUCGAACAACCAGACUGAAGGAUCUCAAAAACGUGUUGACACGGGCUUGCUCGCGUUACCACAGACGGCGAUUCCUCUCAGAUCUGCCGAGAUGAACACCCCGAGCUACAGAGGAGGAUCCACAAGGUACUCUUCGCAUCAGAAGAACGGAUCUUCUCCAAAGAAGCUUGAACUGCCAGAGUUUGAAGCAAAGAAUCCUGAUGACUUGAUCUUCAGGGUUGAGAAGUGUUUUAAGGUGAAUCAAACGGAGGAGGAUGAGAAGUUGUCAGUGGCUAUGGAUUGUUUGGUGGGUUGUGCUGUGACGUGGUUACAGAUGAUACAAGAUCGCGAGGAGCUGUUGGAUUGGAGGGAUUUCAAGAUCAAACUCAAGAGGAGAUUCAAAACCACGAAAGGAGGAACCAUACUCAGUCAAAUGCUUCGUCUGAGACAAACGGGCACGAUUUCAGAGUAUAGAGAGAAAUCUGAGGAGCUUUCUGCUGAAGUACCUCAUGUUCCAAAUGAUGUGCUUGAAGAGAUUUUUCUACAUGGGAUGAAGAGAAGCUUGAGGGAGCAGGUAUUUAGGUUGAGGCCCAUGGGAAUUGACGAGAUAGUGGAUAUGGCGACAAUCAUAGAAGAGCAGGAGAACGAGAGACACUUCUAUCAUUCGAGGCCGUUCCAGAGAACAAAUUCAGCACCGGCUCUGAACUCCCAUCAGAGGAAUAGCAACUUCAGCCCGGGAACACAAGGAGAUCACACUCCAGCCAGGAAGUCAGUUGAUUCUACUCGAGAAAAUAAGGGUUCUGAUCAGAGACGUUCAGUUCAGAACCUAUGUCGUUACUGCGGGGAGCGUUAUUUCACUGGCCAUCGCUGCAAGACUUUCCAAAAGUAUAAAUUCCUAGAGGUGGAGGAGGAGUCUGAAGGAGUAGAUGAGUCGGAAGAGGAACUGGUAGAAGAAUCAGAGGCUCAAGCGAAACAAGAGCUACAAGUUCUGCCGUUAGAAUCCAUGGCCGGGCUGUAACACCCCAAAACCAGCCCAAUUAAAAUUUUUAAAAGCUAAUGGGUUCUCUUCAGCCCAACUAGAAAUCCCUAGGGUUUUCCCUUUCCUCACCUUAUAAAAGCAAGCCUCCACCCCUUAGCCUCCCAUCAGAAAUUGAGAAGCGAAGCCCUGCAGAGAAUUCCCGGAGAUCAGAAGCCCUAGCCGUCGACUCCUUCUCUCUUCCACGCGCCGCCUCUCUCCUCCUUCUCUCUCUUCGCCGCGUCUCUUCUCUCUCUCUCCUCUCCGCGUUCCCUUCUCUCUCUCUCGGCCGCGUCUCUCUCUCCUCGCCGUGAGCAGCCGCGAGUGGUGGUGGUGGCCGCGUGGUGUCAUAGAUCGCAGAUCCCGUUUUCUCUUACCUCGGAGAAAGACGCAUGCGCUAUGGAGCAAAAGGGACAAGGGCGUACGCCCGCAAGCCCUAUUGUGACGCUUGGGGUGAUAUGGUACCUGCACUCUUCCCAGACGAAGAGGAAAUGGAUUUCGCGGAGCAGUCGAACGCCCCCAUCCAGGAGAUGACCGUGAGGUGUCGGAUUUUGAUGCCCCAUUUCCAGCGGGCAGCCGAGUACAAGGGAUUGUACCAGGGUCAGGGGACUUUCCAGUUUGCACCUGAAGUUGACAUGACACCGCCCACAAGGGGCCGAGGGCGCCCAAGGAAGACGGGGUCGACCAGGGAAGGUCUUGGACCGAUCAGGAUGGAAGACAGUGUACCAACGAGGAAACGUGGACGCCCAAGGAAAAUUCCGAGCAUUGAUGCAGCGAGUCUGAGGAGCAUAACCGGAAUAUGUCGGUGUGGAACAUUGACGCAGGCCAGGCAAGGACCGCGCUCAGUCCGGGAGUACACAGAGGAAUUCCUGGAGUCAGCCAAAAGAUGCAAGCCCAAGACAGCGGAGGAUUGGUGCCGGUGGUAUAAGGCAGGACUCCGCGAGGAGAUUCGGGGCAAGCUGAUUGGUGUGUUGGAACCAUGGGAAUUCGCCUUGGUGCACCGGAUGGCCGGUCAAGCAGUGGAAGCUGAACGGAGACUUACUCGUCGGGUCGUCGCUAUCUCGAGCUCUGAGGAGGACGUAGAGGUGGAAGAGGAUCCAUCGGAGGACUCAGAGUGGGAAGAGGAGCCGGCGUCGUCGACAGGGAGUGGCCGCGUGGCUGGUCCUAAGCCGGAAGGGGAGCAGAAGUCUCCAGUACGAAGUGGCUAGAUGUGAUUUCUGAGUCAGCUAGAAGGAGUAGGACACGGUUUUUCUUCCUUCCGUAUUGGUUUUUGCUUUUCAUUUCUUGUUAUAAGGUUAUUCGCGGAUUUUGGCGAUACCUUGAGACCUAUUUAUUCGUUGUAGUCCUACUCCAUUUCAUUUAUUAAAUUCAUUGUUGGUUUUAAAUGAUCUUGAGCAAGUAGGAUGUCAUUUCGUGCUUCUCUUGAUUGUGUUUGGAAACUCACCCCAGUUUUGGGAUGUUAAGUUCGAACUGAGGAUUUGGAAUUCGGGACGAAUUCCGAAUAAGAGGGGGAGAAUUGUAACACCCCAAAACCAGCCCAGUAUGGGAAAUGAAUAGAAAUGGAAUACGAACCACCGAGGGACUGGUGGGGAGUAUGGGAAAACGCGGCGGCCGUAGCGUUCAAAAACGGCAAGUAAGAAUAGAGGCGCCGGUAAGAUUGAGUCACGCCGAGUCUUGGCGGGAAGGGGUCGUAAUACACUGCAAGGGGUAUGGACUACAUCCAAGGGAACCGGAUGCCGGGUGUACCAGGGCAGGCGACCUCAUAGGGAUGCAGCAAGAAAAGGGGAGGGUUGGUCCGCUUGAGCUGUGUAGGUCCUAGAGUUAUAGGAUGAAUGGAGUCUUAAAUAAUAAACCGAAAUGUGUGAAUUGAGCGAUGACUGAGUUCAUUGCACUGCUUGUUUUGUGAAAUGAAUCCUUAAUAGUUAAUUAAGAAUUGGGUGUAGUGACUAGUCGGUUCUCGUUUCGCAUUGAGCGGUAUAAAAGCUCAUGGGGGAGACUGGUCUAGAAUCGCUUCACUGAGUAUUAAUACUCACCCCUCUUUUCCCUCUCCCAUUUUUGCAGAACUAUAAGUGGAAAUGUCGACGGUAAGGAAGGAAAUGCACCUGAAACUCAUGGGACCAGAAACGGGACACACGGAGAUGUCGGAAAAGUAGACAUGUGUGUCCUAAACCCCGCGCCCUGGAACCCGGUUGGAAAUGGGGAGGGACGGGUGUUUCAAAAAAGAUAAAGAGAGCAGGCACCACCUUGAAAAGGUGGAGAAGAGGCAGCCCAAGAUCAAGCCUCUGAAGCCGACAUGCUCAGUACGCGACACCACCAAGAAAGAUAGACGUGGUUGACAAGACCAACUUCUAUACUCCUCUCGCGCACCCACAACGGAGAACCCGUAGCGGACCUUCUAGGUUGGAACCAAAAUGCAUCCCAAAGAAGAACUACUCCUGAUUAUUCCAUAUAUACAAUUGCCAACUGAACAGCAAGAAACCGGGCCAGAGAAAGCCGCUGAAUACAGCUCGGACUGAGCUCACAAGACCUGAACAAUGAGAUUAGAGAGCCAGCACAGCCGUAGAUAUCAUGAGACAGAUACGCUCCUGGGAAAUGCUAACCCUCCGUACAGUACCACCAAGGAGUCGCAAAGUUCACUGACCAACCGAACCCACAACCUCCAAUGCCGUACGCCCUCUGCGAGAAUCGAAAGAGGGUAAUAGAUUGCUGUCGAGAUGCUGAGACCGGUGGUAACGGAGACAGCCCAAGAAAAGAACACGAGCUCGACACACUUAGAAGCUUGUCUACUAAGCUCCGGUGGUGAUGUCCAAAACAGAUUCCAGGAAGCAAA
rnacentral:lncRNA from 1 species